rnacentral:rRNA from 1 species
CUUAGUGGCGGACGGGUGAGUAACGCGUGAGUAACCUGCCUUUCAGAGGGGGAUAACGACUGGAAACGGUCGGUAAUACCGCAUAACAUAUCGAAAUCGCAUGGUUUUGAUAUCAAAGGAGCAAUCCGCUGAAAGAUGGACUCGCGUCCAAUUAGCUAGUUGGUGAGGUAAUGGCUCACCAAGGCGACGAUUGGUAGCCGGACUGAGAGGUUGAACGGCCACAUUGGGACUGAGACACGGCCCAGACUCCUACGGGAGGCAGCAGUGGGGAAUAUUGCACAAUGGGCGAAAGCCUGAUGCAGCGACGCCGCGUGAGGGAAGAAGGUUUUCGGAUUGUAAACCUCUGUCCUCGGUGAAGAUAAUGACGGUAACCGAGGAGGAAGCCACGGCUAACUACGUGCCAGCAGCCGCGGUAAUACGUAGGUGGCAAGCGUUGUCCGGAAUUACUGGGUGUAAAGGGAGCGUAGGCGGGAAUGCAAGUUGAAUGUUAAAUCUAUGGGCUUAACCCAUAUCCGCGUUCAAAACUGCAUUUCUUGAAUGAAGUAGAGGUAGGCGGAAUUCCUAGUGUAGCGGUGAAAUGCGUAAAUAUUAGGAGGAACACCAGUGGCGAAGGCGGCCUACUGGGCUUUAAUUGACGCUGAGGCUCGAAAGCGUGGGUAGCAAACAGGAUUAGAUACCCUGGUAGUCCACGCUGUAAACGAUGAUUACUAGGUGUGGGGGGACUGACCCCUUCCGUGCCGCAGUUAACACAAUAAGUAAUCCACCUGGGGAGUACGACCGCAAGGUUGAA